GUGCAAGAAGUGGGUUACAGGAAACAUGAAGUGCUCUAAAACCUCCUGGUAGACAGCUGUGCUGACUUUGGACCUGAUAAAACACAGUGGACCAACACCACCAGAUGACAUGGAGCCCAAAUCAUCACUGACUGUGGCAACUUAACACUGGACUUCAAGCAGCUAGGAUUCUGUCUUUCCACUCUUCCUCCAGACUCUGGGACCUUGAUUUAAAAAUUAAAUGCAAAAUUUACUUUCAUCUGAAAGGAGGACUUUGAACCACUAAGCAACAGUCCAGUCCUUUUUCUCCUUAAUCCAGGUUAGAUGCUUCUGAUGCCCUCUGGUUCAGGAGGGGCUUGUUUCUACUGGCAUCAGUCAGUUUAUGUAUUGCUGUAUUAAACAUGCAAAAAUCUACUGUCACUGAAAAAAUUUGAUAUUCUGACCAAGUCAGGGAACGUGCUGGUUCCGCACUGUGCCACAUGCACAACAACAUGGAACUGCCACGGUCCUGGAUGGUAACCACUCAGGCAGACAACCAGUCCAACCCCACAUCUGUCAACCAACCAUCUAUCUGGCAGACCCAGGUGAAGCAUGGGUGUCCCCUUGGUCUUCUCCAGCCACUCUAGCACCUGUGUGAUGGAUCAUGCACAGAGAAACGUGCCACAUGGCUAAAAUGUCGAAGCUGAUGUUCGCUCACAAUAAAAGCAGAGAACCCAGAGACAUGAAUGUCACAGUUGAGAUAAAUCAGUCUCUACAAGUUCAACACUUUCACCACAUACAGAUACACUUAUGAUGAGAGUCCAGGAGGUCAAACUCAAGACACACUGAUUCCUCACUCACCUUCUCACCUGCUACAAUUAGGGUAUCAGGUGAUUCCGCAAAGCAUUGUUUAGGAAGUCAAGGUCAAUAAACCGUUCUUCGCAAACAAACGCAUGUAAGCUCCUGGUUUCCACAAUAUCCAACACCCAGUCCAUUGAAUAGUGGGGCAGCCAGAACACAUCCCUGAGGAACACCAGUUUUCCCUGGGAAAAACUCAAACCUCUGUCUCCACUCUGUACAGCAGUCGCACUGUGUAUAGGCUGGCUAUGGCGUGUUGCAACUUCUUGUGGAUCCUAUAAAUCCUAAUGAUGUCCCAGAGAGCAGACCAAUCAAAUGCUUUGCAAAAAAAACCAAAACAAACAAACCUCUACAUAAGCUGUAAAGAAGCGGUAUCAACACAGAAUGCAACCAUAAAGUGGGAAGAAUAAUUACAAUAUACAUUUAUUUAUACAGAUUAAAACCUUUCACUGAAAAUGAAUUGGAACAUUUACAAGUGCUAAUAAAUACAUACACAUUCUAAGAGCAUUAUCAAUGUCAAAGUGAAAAAUGUAUUUCAAAUAUAAAUACAGGAAUGUUCAUUGUUCCCUUUGAUAAAGUCAGAUUGGGGGGGAUUGCCAUGUGCUGAGUGUCUUAAAAAAUAAUAAUGAUCAGAAAAACACCUUACCAGUAAAGUGUUUAAGUUUUGAGCAUCUCAUGUCAAUGAUUUGCAUUAGUAGUAGAGAGAGAGAGCAAGAUUUUGAGAUCAACAUACAUAUAGAAGCACACCAGUGAUGCAAAUAUUCAAAAUGUAAAGAUUAGUUAACAGAAAGCCAGCAUAAAAACAUGUUGAUUUGGUUUAAAUUGCUCAUUUGUACUUGAAAUUUAGGGGGGGACUGAACAUGCUGUGUUCAUGCAGACACAAUCUGAUUGUAAUAACUUGCAAAAGGCAUUUUAAUAGGCAUUUGUUGCCACUUUAAAUAUUAAAAAAUUAAAAAGCUAAAACUAACAAAUUACUGAAUAUUUCCCCCCUUUAUAUAAAAUUAACACCCUUAUGGGCACAGCUCAUGAACAAUGAUCCUAAAGCCAUUUGCAGCUGUUCUGUAUUUGGUAAAUACAUGUAUGUUUGAUUAUGUAGAAAAAAAAAAACAAUAAAAGUUACAUGACUUACUGACACUGAGGAGUAGCAACAUGGUGACAUACGUGGCUUGCGGUCUGCACUGUUUAUUGUUUUUUCCUGAUUCUGCUACUUGUACAGCACGUGUCACCUGGUAUAUGAUCACUAGACUCUGGGUUCUAUUCUUGGCCCUAUUCUAUUUUCAUUUUACAUGUUACCGCCUGGGUCAAUUCUAGCCAAGCAUAACCUGUCCUUUCAUUGCUAUGCAGAUGAUCUGCAAAUCUGCCUAUGAGGACUAGUGGAAGCAAUGCUUUGUCAUCACUGUUUGAUUGUAUUCAUGAUGUAAACCAGUAGCUGUCCCAAAAUGUCCUUUACUUAAACGAUGGUAAAACGGAGACCAUUGUGUUUGGACAUUCUGAUAUGCCAAAUGCUACAACCCCUGGCAAUAAUUAUGGAAUCACCGGCCUCGGAGGAUGUUCAUUCAGUUGUUUAAU